UACGGAAGGGGCUAGCGUUGUUCGGAAUUACUGGGCGUAAAGCGCGCGUAGGCGGCUUUUCAAGUGGGGCGUGAAAGUCCUGGGCUCAACCUGGGGACGGCGCUUCAGACUGUUUGGCUAGAGUCCGGAAGAGGGUGGUGGAAUUCCGAGUGUAGAGGUGAAAUUCGUAGAUAUUCGGAGGAACACCGGUGGCGAAGGCGGCCACCUGGUCCGGUACUGACGCUCAAGUGCGAAGCGUGGGGAGCAAACAGGG
rnacentral:rRNA from 1 species